rnacentral:rRNA from 1 species
UACGUAGGGGGCAAGCGUUGUCCGGAUUUAUUGGGCGUAAAGAGCGUGUAGGCGGCCAGGUAGGUCCGCUGUGAAAACUCGAGGCUCAACCUCGAGAUGUCGGCGGAAACCAUCUGGCUAGAGUCCGGAAGAGGAGAGUGGAAUUCCUGGUGUAGCGGUGAAAUGCGCAGAUAUCAGGAAGAACACCCGUGGCGAAGGCGGCGACCUGGUCCGAUACUGACGCUGAGGCGCGAAAGCGUGGGGAGCAAACAGG